rnacentral:ncRNA from 1 species
CUUGACGGGGUGCCGGUGAAACCGGCUGAGAUGGCGCGGGGUCUUUCCACAAUGGAUAGCACCCAAGUGCUGGUCCCGUUGAACCUGAUCCGGUUAGCACCGGCGUAGGAAUCA